CCCGACUCCUUUAAUUUCUUAAGUCCUUCCCUGCCUCCUGUCCCCUCCAUCCCCAGCAUGUUUCAAUGCUGGGCCCCUCUCCAGUUACAGGGAUGGAGACGGACGGGUUGUGCUGUGUGUAGAUUUUCGGAAGGCAGGUCAAAGAACUGAAGUUGGUUUCUUAGGAGUAAACCGGCUCUGCCGAGACUCCACACUAAGCCCUUGCACCAGAGGACCAGCCACAACAAAGCUGCUUCAGCAGGCAGCUUGUUUUCUUAGGAAGGCUGCUUACUGGCCUUGUCACAAGGUUUGCUGUGACAUUUGCAUUAGAAUACUGCAUCCAGGCCGGACAAGAGGCAGUUGGCUUCAGUUCUAUCCCAAGAGAUUUACCAGGACUGUCAAGGACCUCUCCUCCCGGGCCUGACUUUGAAGUCCCUACUACUGCACAGUAGGUGCUGCCCCAGGACUUUGCCACCAAGCUUUCUUCACUGUCAACAUGGCCUUUGGACUGGCCAGCGCAGCCAUCUACAGUGUGGCCUUGAACCCUGUCAGGUCUUUCAGUGAUUUUUCCACGGCUUCGUCCCAGCUUGCCACAGAACCCGGAGGCAUGAAGUCAUAAGUCUCCAUCUUUCCAAAGCUCCGAGAGCCCAGGGGGAGAGUGAGCAGAGCUUCCUGCCAGAUGUGCCAAGGGGCAAACCUGGGUCUAGACGGGGCCAGCGGCUUCUUACUGGGCCACUGCUCAAAACGAAUGGGCAUACCAAGAGCCACCAGAAAGAGGACAUCGUGGCUGCAUAUUCCUCCCACCAACCCCCAGCUGGAGAAUGCUGCUGCUCUCGUCGUAAUCCAGGAAGAGGAAGGAGAGAAACUCGCUGAACUCACCCACCACCCUCCCUGCCCAGGCAGCACUCACCCCAGCUUGCCAGGCUCCGAUUUGGAGAAAGCACUGGGUGUCACUUCAUCCUUUGGGACAGUCAGAAGGGAUGCUGGGAGAGACCACUAAAAGCAAAGGAAGAGGGCUUUUGAAACCUUGUAAUUUCCUCGUGACUUUGGGUGAGAUCCUGGAUGGCUCCUGGAUGAGGGUUGGUCACUGGAAAGACCAAGUGAUUACUAGAAACUUGGAAUUUUCAGCACGAUGCCCCAUUCUCUUAAGAAGGAAGGAGGACUGAAAUGGUGAUCAAUCAUGCCUGUGUGAUGAAGCCUCCAUAAAUCCCAAAAGUGCAGGGUUCAGAGAGCUUCCAGGCGGAUGAACACGGGAAGAUGCUGGGAGAGUGGUACUGCGCAGAGAGGACAUGGAAGCUCCACGUCCCUUCCCACACACUUUUCCCUAUCUCUCUCUUCCACCUGGCUGUUCAUCUGUAUCCUUUAUCACAUCCUUUUAUAAUAAACCAGCACACAUGAGUAAAUGUU